GUCCUUGCCGUAAACGAUGUAUACUUGAUGUAGUUAGGCUCAACCCUGACUGUGUCGAAGCUAACGCGAUAAGUAUACCGCCUGAGGAGUACGCUAGCAAGGGUGAAACUCAAAAGAAUUGACGGGGGCCCCGCACAAGCAGUGGAGCAUGUGGUUUAAUUCGAUGCAACGCGAAGAACCUUACCCAGGCUCGAAAUGUAAUGGACGAUAUCAGAGAUGGUAUUUUCCGCAAGGACCGUUAUAUAGGUGCUGCAUGGCUGUCGU
rnacentral:rRNA from 1 species